GGCGGGUCGUGGGCGCGCAUGCGCGGUGGCUGCUGAGAAGGGAGCGGGACGACCCUGAGGAAGGGGCGCGGGUGGCGGGAAGCUGAGUCGGUGGCUCCUGAGAGGGCGAGGCAGAGAGGACGCUCUGCCUUCAGCCCUCAGGCGUCGUUUGGGGGCAGGGAGAUGCCGCGAGCGAGAAGCCAUGAGGCGGGCCCGAACUGAGGGGAGUGGAGUUGGCAGAAAGGAGAAGGAAACCGGAGGGAGCUGGAGCUGGUGUAUGCACAAACCUGCACUGCAGAGACAGCAUCAUCACCUGGACAAGGCGUGUGUCUGCUCUGACCAUGUCUGGAGACGACCCAAAGCUGCAGCAGCUCCCUGACACGCUGAUGCCAAGAUGCUUGCAUGGUGGAAAUGGGGGAAGAGAGAAACAGAGGGUUUUGGUAGCUGUUUUCUGUCAGAGCAGGAAGAAAGCUGUGCUUCCUGACAAGAAACGUUGUACAAAGUGGAUGGAUGAAUGCUGUGGAAUGCUCAGGUGCUGGAGCUGGGCUGACCGUGUAAGAGCAGUAGGAUCCUGCCUCUGCUCUGCCCAUCCUAAGAAUGCAUAGAGGGCUGUUCGGACUACGAGAAUGAAAGCAGACGUUCAUUUGUACAUAUUGUCCAUUUCAUCUGUGCAAAGUUGCAGCACACCGAUUUCACAAAGCAGAUCAGCACCACAAGUUAUUUUAAAGCACGAUGUGCUCUUACUUAACAGGCUCCUACCACUUCCCAAGUGAUGCCGAGCCAGGUCCAGGCACGCAGUGUCCAUAGUGAAGGGACACCCUGCCAGGCUCUGCUUUUAGCAUCACGUGCUGCCGUGGCUCUGGCAGGUGUGAAUGGUGAUCACUUGUUGCUUUAAUCAUGGGAGAAACUUACACCAACAACAGGUAGGAUACCCUAGCGACCUCUAAUAAUAGCAGGAACGUCACAUACUCAUCUAUAACCUUUUUUUUUCCCUCUCUGAAAAGAGGAUAAAUGGACCAGGAACAGUAAAGCUUACUUUGAUGAGAACAGAGGUUAUAUUCUGCCUAUGCAAUUAAGUUUCAUGUUAUGAAGUCACAACUGCGUUGACCCGCUCCCCAUUAAACGCUGUCUUUGAAAGCACUAUAAAAUGGAUUGGGUCUUUUGUAAGCAUUGCAAAAAAUGCAAAAACUAAUUUCUGACUGCUCGAUUUGGAGCACGAUGCAGAAAAGGUGGAUUAGCCAAGGAAUUUACAUUUCUACUUCCAAUUGUUGUAUUUAGCUCCUGCCUACUGAAAUGCUUCCAUCAUUAUCAAUGCCACCUCAAAUAAUUACUAAAAUAUUUAUAAAUUUACUUGUUUCCAAGU